rnacentral:lncRNA from 1 species
UGUCAUUGGAAAAGUUUUAUUGAAAAAAAAAAUGUACAAAUAAGUUCUUGGAUUGAUAGCAACAAAGGCUCAUGUUCCCCCUUCCCUCCCUAUCUUUGAAGAACUAAAAAAGGAAGAAACAAAACAAAAAGUUCAUCCCCACAACGCCAGACACGAUGCUUCUUGACCAGAGUCUGCCCAGAAGCCCCUCCUGGGAGCUCCUUCUCAAUCCGCCUCACUGCGGCCAGGUCAUUCUGGGGGUGCCUGGUCCCAGGGGCUGCAGCACCUAGUUUUAUAGUUGGGAGAGGUUGGGAUAGAGCUGGGGAGGUCCGCUCAGGCACACGGGAACCCCGGUCUGUUUUUCCACCCCCACCCCAUGGAGUAUCCAAGGCUGGUACCUCACCUCCCCCCCAACCCCAAUAGCACCCAUGUGUCUCAGGAGCCUUUGGAUGCCUCCUGCCAUCCUGUGUGCACCCUGAGGCCCUAUAACUCGUCUCGCAUCUUGUCACCCUUAGGCCGGACCAGGCGCCCA